CCCUUAGUAACGGCGAGCGAAAAGGGAAGAGUCCAGCGCCAAGUCUUGACACUUUGUGUUCAAGAGAUGCGGCGUUAAUGUGUUGUUGCAUCGUACAUUGUUACUUGUUUCAAGUUCUCUUGACAGAGACAUCCAUAGCGGGUGCUAGGCCCAUAGAGAUAAGAAACUAAUGUACGCCAAACAAUGCAUUCUAGAGUCAGGUUGCUUGAGAGUGCAGCUUAAAGUCGGUGGUAAACUCCAUCUAAGACUAAAUAUAACAGCGAGACCGAUAGCAAACAAGUACCGUGAGGGAAAGUUGCAAAGCACUUUGAAGAGAGAGUUCAACAGUACGUGAAACCACUGGGAGGCAAACAGAUGGAACCACGAAGUUGCGCUUCUCACGAUUCAAUCAUUGCAUCAGUUACCGGAACUUGUGUGGAUCUUUUCGGAGAUUAGCAAGUGACGUUUGACUGAUUACAGUGGUGCAUUUCGUGUGGAAGAUGCUAAGCCACGUUCGAUUAGAGUUGGGACGGCUGUAGGAAGGGAUUUGAGAAAGGUGACCGUCACGUGCUUGCAUUUGGCGGCGUUAUAGUCUCGAAUCGGAACCGUCACCUAACAAACUGAUCGAUGCAAUUUCUCCUUAGGAGUUAAACUGUGUCUGCCUGUGGCCAUUAGUUAAUUUUUCGAAGUGUUCUUUACGUAUCUUUUGGUACGAAAAGGCAUUUCAACGAUGUUGGCUAGUGGUUGCUUGCGUGGCAUGGUGGAACUGUGGCGUGAGUAGGUCGGUUUCCCUCUGACCC
rnacentral:rRNA from 1 species